rnacentral:rRNA from 1 species
UUUAAGCGUUUUCGCUGAGAAUGUUUAAAAAUGGUUU